AUUUUUAGAGAAACUAAAAACUGGACUCUGAUAAUAUUUGGAAAUAAUUGUUUUUACAAUAUAUCCUUUUUCUCUUUAACAAUGUUACAUUUUAAGUCUAAGAGUAUUAUGUAUUUUUAAUAGAGGAUGGUCUCCCGUUAGUAAGUAGCUUUUCACUCACCUUCAACAUCACAGUGAAGCUUUAAUAAGUGGGGAACUCAUUCUCUGAGAUAUUGAGCAUUCCCCUAUUUUCUGAAAAUUACCUAUACAUUUUCUUAGACGCUGCUUUCUUCUCCUUUCACCCCACUGUGCUUUUCCUAGAAAGCUCUGAUUUUUCUCCCACCUAAAACCCUUAUUAGCUCUUUUCCCACUCCCUGAAUUUGUCUUAACUUCCUAGAAACCCUUUCCAAUAGCAUCUAACUACACAGUUCUUAAAUCUCUUAUUCUCUACACACCUUUCAGGCUACCACAACCUCUUCUUAGCUCUAUGGGCAUCUGCACUGAUUUCCUUUACCAAAACCCUUUCACUAGAAGUCCUUUGCAUCAGAAUCCACCACCCUGAAGGAAAGAAAAGGCAUGACAUCUUCAAGAACCUAGAAUGCGCAGUUAUUCAAUCUUCACGAAACCCUGCAAACUAGGUGCAAGAUACCCACAUUCCUUUUUCCUCUCCUUGAGCACAUGAGAAGACUGUUUCCCAGUUUCCCUUGCUAUUAGUCUGGGGCAAUGUAAUUGGUCUGGCCAGGAGCUAUGGGCAAAAGUAAUGGGCCUGGUUCCCAAGCUUGACUCUAAAGUCUCCUGUGAAACAAUCAGCUUGUGACUUCUCCGUUGUCGACAAUGCUUAAAAGCAAAGGAUGUUAAGAUACUGGAUUAUGUGUAUCACAAGAGUUCAGAUUCUUUAGUUGCUGAAGCAACAGACAGUGAACUGAGCAGAAUGUAAAGUUGUAUUAAGUUUCUGAGUUUAUUACCAAGUUUGCAUUUAGACACAUAAAGAAUAGCAAGUCAUUGUGUUUGUAGUCUAGUGAAGUUAGGUUACAUAAGCUUUUGUGACCUGACAUCAAAAUGCGAUCCCCCUUGUUAAACUGUUUUUAUAGAAACGUGAGUUCUGAGUUCCAGUCCAAACUAUAAAAGAACUUUCAGAGAAAAGGAAACAAAAACUCUAGGGAUUGAUUUUUCUGUGAAAGAAGUACCACACAUUAGAACACCAGUACUCUUGAGGUGCCGCUCAAUUUGUCCUACUACUGAUGAUGUCCAGUUUAAUCACCCAAUUAAAAUGAUGUCUGCCAGGCUUCUCCACAACUAGCUCCCAUGCCAAGGCCUGGCAGGUCCUGCACACCCAUUCACCGGACCACAAUUUUCUGCUUCUCACAUAUAAAACUUACCUCAUCGAGGAAGGAAAGAAAACAGCAGCUGCAAUGACAUGUCUAAGGGUAGAAAACUAAUGAAGGAAAAAGAAAUGCUAACAGGUUUGUACUCUAAGACAAUACAGAUUGUCUCCAAGACAAAGAACUUCAGCUGCACCCUGCGUGUCUUGAAUAUAGACCACAAGGGGAAAACAAGCUAUUACCUUAAAUAUUUCUCAUUUUAAAAUGCUCUUUUUUUAUACCAACCAUAACCAUCCUGAAUAAUUCAAAUCACCAUGCCCCCUUCUUAUCCUCAAUAUAGAACUUUUUGUCAUAAACAGAUGCAUAUUCUUAAUACAAAACUAAUAAAGUAAAAAAA